CGAGUUUUCUCCUUCCCUGUUAGUGAUUUUACUAGAAAACAGCCGUCCCUGUUUAGAAGGUCUUCCAUUCUCCAGUUCAAGAGGCAUCCCCCAGGGCUCCCUCUGCCUGUGUGACUGGCCAGCAGGGGGCGGUGGUCACUUUCUAGCCACUUCUCAGGCACUGUGAGACAGGCUGCAGAAUGACGUCCAUGUUUUGCUCCAGCGCAUCCCAGCC